rnacentral:lncRNA from 1 species
CCUUUUUGCCCUAACCCUCUGCCUUAUGAGGACACGCAUUUCUCUCCUCCAAAACAUGCAGCCCUUACCAGUCAACUGAACCUACUGGCAACUUGAUUUUGAACUCCCCAGCCUCUACAACUAGACUGGAUCUCACUACUUGCCUAGCUCUUGAACUCCUGGCCUCAAGCAAUCCUCCUGCCUCAACCUCCCAAAGUGCUGGGAUUACAGGAGUGAGCCACUAUGCCCCACAUGAAUUUGCUUAGAAACCAUUUCUCCGGAUGUGCUCCCUCUUUCCUUGUCAUGCAGUGGUAUUCCAUUUCCUCCAUUUUUUACCAGUAUUCUCCCAUUUGAGAAAACAAUGAACAAAUCAGUGAGAAGAAGCAAGCAGCUUAUAUUCUUUGAUAUUCUCUGCUAUUCUGGUUUUUGGGGAAAAUAUUUCAUAAUCAGUCCUCCAAAAUUGAAGUGAUGUGAAAGAAUUGGCAGAUAUUUAAAUAAAGGACCCAUAAGUAUAAAAUAAAUGGAAACUGUAGUAAUGAGGCUAUGAAAUAUAUAAGAUGGUUUAUUCAUAGGUAAUACAGACCUUCCAGAGAAAAGUUUAUACGCCUCACAGAAAGGACAGGGACUUUGAAAUUAACAAUGAACUUCUUUAGAAAUUCUGACUUUAAUAGUUAACAUUUGUAAGACUUGAAACAAGAUAUCUUGUUUAAUAAACUCCACAAACCUCAAUUUUUUUACAAGAUGGGGAAAAUAAUGGCUACCUUAGAUGAGUAUUGUGGGGAUUAAAGUAAAUAGAUAUAAAAUAUCUAAAAGAAUGCCUGGGGCAUUGUUAGUGUUGUAAUAACUUAGUUUCAUAAAGCUCCAGUAAAUAGUCAUGUACAUAUUAUUUUUUAGAAGUAUGAAGUUCAGAAAUAUUUGUGAUCCCUUUUCUUAUUUGCAGUCUUCUCAGUACUAAAUGGAAUGACUAAGGGUAUCUUUAAUUAUUAAACAACUCCUAACCUGAAAACAAAUGGAUUACAUUGGUGGCCGACUCACAGAGAAAGUUUAUGCAGAUAGAAUCUACAUGGCCAAUUCAAAAAAAGGACACAUUUUUAGAAACGAUAUCCAGGAUGUCACAAUACCUUGUCUACACUCAUCAAUUUUAUUGUCACCUUGCCACUAUUGAGCUUAGUGUUGACACUUCCCAGAGCCCAGAAGUUGCCCCUAAAAAUUAUGAAUUCCACACUGGGAAAGCAAGGUAAAGUAAUUCUUUUGUUGGGUUAUUGAUGCUUUGGAAGGGACAUAGAGAUAUGGAUGCAUACAUAGCUCAAAAUAAAAGAGAAUUUAUUCUGGAACAUGGCCAAGAUAAGAAUGUCACCUAAGUUCACCAGGCCAUCAUUUGAGAGUAGCUUCAGCAGAUUAAUACAUCAAAAAAGCCAAUAAAACAAAACAUUGAAAUGUAAUUAUUUAUUAAAUACUUGAAGGAAUUACAGUAGUUGAGUUGAAUCAUAUUUUUUUAAAAAGAUGAAGAAGAAAAACACAGCCUUUAAAAUUUCUCUUUCGAUCCCCUUUUUCUCUUUUCCUGAAAUUCUAAACCUCAAGGAAGUUGACUUAUAAGAUGUUCCUUUUUUAAAAUCAACCCACUCUCAAAAUUCC